rnacentral:rRNA from 1 species
UGCUGAGUUGAAGCAUAUAAAUAACGGCGAGCGAACUGGGAGAUGCCCAGCUUGAGAAUCGGGAGAUGCCCAGCUUGAGAAUCGGGCGGCCGCACCGUUCGAAUUGUAGUCUAGAGAGGCAUCCUCAGCGAUGGACCGGGCCCAAGUCUCCUGGAAAGGGGCGCCUGGAAGGGUGAGAGCCUCGUCCGGCCCUUACCCUGUCGCCUCAUGAGGCACCAUCAACAAGUUAGGUUGUUUGAGAAUGCAGCCCAAAUCGGGCGAUAAACUCUGUCCAAGGCUAAAUACAAGCGAGAGACCGAUAGCGAACAAGUACCGCGAGGGAAAGAUGAAAAGGACUUUGAAAAGAGAGUCAAAGAGUGCGUGAAAUUAACGGGAGGAAAGCGGAUGGGGGCUGGUGAUGUGCCCUCGCCGUAUGCGGGACAACUUCAGCUGGUCCGCCAAUCGGAUUAGGGCGUGGACAGUUGUCGGCCACGUCGGCGGCCAAAGCCCGGGGGCUCGCACCCCUCGUAGCCGUCGUCGGCGUUACGGUCACCGCGCGCUUCUGUCGUGCCCCUCGGGGUGCCACGCUGCAGCGGCCUGCGGGCUCCCCAUCUGACCCGUCUUGAAACACGGACUAAGGAGUCUGACAUGCGUGCGAGUUAACGGGUUCUGAAACCCGGGAUGUGGAAGGAAGUUGACGAGCGGGAGGCCCGCACAGGCCGCACCCCUGGCCAACCCUGAUCUUAUGUGAAGGGUUCGAGUUGGAGCACGCCUGGCGGGACCCGAAAGAUGGUGAACUAUGCCUAAUUGGGGCGAAGCCAGAGGAAACUCUAGUGGAGGCUCAAAGCGAUAGUGAUGUGCAAAUCGUUCAUCUGGCUUGGGUAUAGGGGCGAAAGACUAAUCGAACCAUCUAGUAGCUGGUUC